rnacentral:rRNA from 1 species
UACGUAGGCAGCAAGCGUUGUUCGGAGUUACUGGGCGUAAAGGGUGUGUAGGCGGUUAUUUAAGUUUGCUGUGAAAUCUCCCGGCUUAACCGGGAGGGUGCGGUGAAUACUGAGGGACUAGAGUACGGGAGAGGAAAGUGGAAUUCCUGGUGUAGCGGUGAAAUGCGUAGAUAUCAGGAGGAACACCGGUGGUGUAGACGGCUUUCUGGACCGACACUGACGCUGAGACACGAAAGCGUGGGUAGCAAACAGG